GUAGUAUCAUAAUGGCUAGCAGCGUCCUUCAUUCCUGCCUUAUGAUCUACAGAUGUAUCGAGAUGUCCAAUACUUGGCAUAUUGGAAUCACUUACACUGGCCAUUUUGACAGAAGUCAUAGUUGCUGGAUUGGACCAAUGACAACAUUGUUGUGGUUUAGUACAUUGGGAAUCAAUACAGAUCCUUGGAGUUGCUAAAUUCUCGACUGACUCCGAUAAGACAGCAGUUGUAUUAGAAGUAGCAUUCAAAAGGACUGACUCUCCAAUGUUAGAGGGAUCAGUACUACCAUUCAAAACCAUACUAUCUGCUAUGACAUUACCAUUUUCCUUAUCAGCAUCAGUGGUAAG
rnacentral:lncRNA from 1 species